rnacentral:rRNA from 1 species
UACGAAGGGGGCUAGCGUUGCUCGGAAUCACUGGGCGUAAAGGGUGCGUAGGCGGACCUGCAAGUCGGGGGUGAAAGCCCGAGGCUCAACCUCGGAACUGCCUUCGAUACUGCGGGUCUCGAGUCCGGGAGAGGUGAGUGGAAUUCCUAGUGUAGAGGUGAAAUUCGUAGAUAUUAGGAAGAACACCAGUGGCGAAGGCGGCUCACUGGCCCGGUACUGACGCUGAGGAGCGAAAGUGUGGGGAGCAAACAGG